GAGUCUAAAAAAUGUGACUUGUUGCUUGACAACAGCCAAUUGCAUGCUCCUAUUUAAAACACGUCACACAGCGCCACCCUCAAAAAUUAGACUAAACAGCUGAUACAACAAUCUCUUCGCUUCAAACUCCAAUCGUGGCAGCAACCGAACCAAAGGUUUAAGAAAUAUAAUUAACUAGGCUACAGAAAGACAGAGAAUGGAUUCAAGAAAUGCAAGAAAAGUGGAGAUGCAUGGCAGUCAUCACAACCAACAGCCACCAACCCCAAGCCUAGCCAGGAGAAAGAGAAUACAAGAAACGACUGACAUUAGGAGCCCAACGGACAACAUGAUGUCUCCAUGCUCACGCAAACUCAAUGGGAAACCUACCAAAGAUAUACACACAACCCCAAAUGCAUCCAGGUCCAGGAGUUUGGACAAAGAAAACGUUCCUUGUGAAUAAACUAACUUUUACAAGAAGGCCUCAAUCACCUUCCUCAAUCACCUUCCUCACCCUCACCCUCUCAACUGCUUAGAAUGCUCUCAGUCUCAGUCAUGGUGAUGACCUUUGUUCUUUUUGUUCUCAGAAGGAUCAAAGUUGUUAUUUUUAGUUGCUGGUAUUUGUCUAGAAUGGAGCUAGACAGUGAGUAAAACAAUGGGCAUAUGUACAAUGAGUGUUAUGGAAUGCUUAGCUGUGAAGUUAGGCUCUAAAGCGGCCUAGAUUGCGGACUCUUUUGCAGCAGUCUCCCAGGGCAGGUGGCAGGACUCUGAUGGAUUUCUUUGGCAUGGGGGAGCACUGGGAAAUUAACUGACCUUUUUGGACCUUCUCACAUUUGGAGGUGCUUAAUCAGCUGCCAUCCUACUACAAACCAUCCUACUACUAACCAUCCGUCUGUCCUGUAUUUCUCUGACUUGUAGUCAAUAACGUUUUAAAGUUCUUUGCAAGCUAUGUAACAAUGUAGCUUAUAUUUACUAAUGAAGUGGUCAGCAGGCCAUAUAUUUAAUAGCCGAGACGAGACAAUCAAAUGAUCAAGUGCUGUACACUGCAAAAGGCUUAACCUUAGUUCUCUGCACUGUCUCUUUCUUUUUCAAGUGAAUGUACCAUUUUGCACUUUAUUGCUGGUAUGCUGCAGAUAUCCUGGAGUGUGUUGCACUGGUAUGUGAAGGGAUGCUAGCUGUCAAACCUACACAAUGAAUGUUAGGCAUGCGUGUGUGUGCGUUCUUCAUGGCAAAUUGCUGUGAAUGUUGUACAGUGUUCUGAAUCUGUUUACUGGUACCUUAUAUUUAAUAAAGACAAUGAUGUUGCA